rnacentral:rRNA from 1 species
GACGAACGCUGGCGGCGUGCUUAACACAUGCAAGUCGAACGGAAAGGCCCUGCUUUUGUGGGGUGCUCGAGUGGCGAACGGGUGAGUAACACGUGAGUAACCUGCCCUUGACUUUGGGAUAACUUCAGGAAACUGGGGCUAAUACCGGAUAGGAGCUCCUGCUGCAUGGUGGGGGUUGGAAAUUUUCGGCGGUUGGGGAUGGACUCGCGGCUUAUCGGCUUGUUGGUGGGGUAGUGGCUUACCAAGGCUUUGACGGGUAGCCGGCCUGAGAGGGUUACCGGCCACAUUGGGACUGAGAGACGGCCCAGACUCCUACGGGAGGCAGCAGGGGGGAAUAUUGCACAAUGGGCGGAAGCCUGAUGCAGCAACGCCGCGUGCGGGAUGACGGCCUUCGGGUUGUAAACCGCUUUCGCCUGUGACGAAGCGUGAGUGACGGUAAUGGGUAAAGAAGCACCGGCUAACUACGUG